UACGUAGGGGGCAAGCGUUGUCCGGAUUUAUUGGGCGUAAAGAGCGUGUAGGCGGCUUCACAGGUCCGCUGUGAAAACUCGAGGCUCAACCUCGAGCUGUCGGUGGAAACCGUGUGGCUAGAGUCCGGAAGAGGAGAGUGGAAUUCCCGGUGUAGCGGUGAAAUGCGCAGAUAUCGGGAAGAACACCCGUGGCGAAGGCAGCUCGCUGGGACGUUACUGACGCUGAGACGCGAAAGCGUGGGGAGCAAACAGG
rnacentral:rRNA from 1 species